UUGCUCUUCAACGAGGAAUGCCUAGUAAGCGCGUGUCAUCAGCAUGCGUUGAUUACGUCCCUGCCCUUUGUACACACCGCCCGUCGCUACUACCGAUUGAAUGGCUCAGUGAGGCGUUCGGACUGGCUUGAGGAGGUUGGCAACGACCACCUUAAGCCGGAAAGUUCGUCAAACUCGGUCAUUUAGAGGAAGUAAAAGUCGUAACAAGGUUUCCGUAGGUGAACCUGCGGAAGGAUCAUUACUUUUCACUUUGGGAGCUGUUAGUCUAUAUCACUAUAGCUGGCUCCUAUUUGAAACCCUUGUCUUUUGCGUACCCAUGUUUCCUCGGCGGGCUUGCCCGCCGGUUGGACAACCUUAAAACCUUUUUAAUUUUCAAUCAGCGUCUGAAUAAAUAUAAUAAUUACAACUUUCAACAACGGAUCUCUUGGUUCUGGCAUCGAUGAAGAACGCAGCGAAAUGCGAUAAGUAGUGUGAAUUGCAGAAUUCAGUGAAUCAUCGAAUCUUUGAACGCACAUUGCGCCCCCUGGUAUUCCGGGGGGCAUGCCUGUUCGAGCGUCAUUUCACCACUCAAGCCUCGCUUGGUAUUGGGCAACGCGGUCCGCCGCGUGCCUCAAAUCGACCGGCUGGGUCUUCUGUCCCCUAAGCGUUGUGGAAACUAUUCGCUAAAGGGUGUUCGGGAGGCUACGCCGUAAAACAACCCCAUUUCUAAGGUUGACCUCGGAUCAGGUAGGGAUACCCGCUGAACUUAAGCAUAUCAAUAAGCGGAGGA
rnacentral:rRNA from 1 species